rnacentral:rRNA from 1 species
AUUGGCAGCCAUAUCACCCUGCAGCCCAAGACUGGUUGCCCACUGAAGCUAAGCAGGGUUGAGCCUGGUCAGUACCUGGAUGGGAGACCUCCUGGGAAAACUAGGUUGCUGCUGGAA